rnacentral:rRNA from 1 species
UGUUACUUUCGAUAUUAUAAGUUGGAUUAUUAGAAUUUUUGAAAUUUAACGGAUUUGGCGGCAAGAUAGCCCAUUUAGAGGAACCUGCCCUAUAAACGAUGAACCACGAACGACUCUACUUUUUUUGGUAAUCAGUUUGUAUACCGCUGUUGUCAGUCAGUUUUUGUAGAAAACUUUCCAUAAUGGGAUAACCAUUGACUUCAAGUAAAGGUGCAGCUUAUAUAAAAGUUAGAGGUGGGUUACAAUUUACAGAAAACUACGGAUAAUAAUAAUGAAAAAUUGUUUGAAGGUGGAUUUAAUAGUAAAGUUUAAUUUAACUUGAUGCGAGCACUAACUUGU